rnacentral:lncRNA from 1 species
AAGAAGACAACAUGUAUUCAUGUUAUACAAACGCUAUAUACGGUGCCCAAAUACACAAACUGAACUUGUAAAAAAAAAGCAAUUAACCAAUGAACAUUUUUUUCUUUGUAUUUAUUUUUCUGUGUAUUUCGGUACACUAUGCUCACAAUUUUUACUUUUGCCAAACAUUUUCAAGUCAACCGCCACGCCGGCUACCAGAGUGUCACCUACAAAAUGCAAACAAUAAAUUAUGAAUUAGUAUCUUCCAGUUAUCGAGUUAUUACGUACUCAUCAAUCCAAUAAGGACAAUUUGCUACGAGCCUUAAAAAAACAUUUGCCCGGUCAAUUGAUUCUGCUAUUAGUACUUUAUUCCAAACUGGUGCACUAGAAACAGAGAUAAAGUUUAAGGGCAGUAUCCAUUAUUGCUGUUUAAUGAACUCUAUAAUAAGACAAAGAUAAUUAAGGGCACGAGCUAAGUAAAAUCAAUCACGUACCUUGCAUCCUUUCCUCCUCAGCCUUUCAAUAGUGACGUCAUUGCUGAAGUCGAGAACAAGCUCACUGAGACACGGCAGGUGCAGAAGCCACUCCGGGAGUUUCUUCAUGUUUUCGAACUCAGAAAGGUACAGGUGUGAGAGCCUUGGCAUUGCG